AACAGCGAACACUAUAUAAAUACGGGGGCGGAUAGGGGGGCCAGUUCUCUGAAAAAAAAAAAUUUUCUGCAUUAUUUUUAUUUUUAUUAUUAUAUAACAGUAUAAAAUGGAAAAAAAUGAGUUGCACAAAUACAUAGAUUCCUUAACAGAUAAUCUUAGCACUAUUAUUAUAGAUUUCUUGAGAUUUCUUGAAUCAACAAGGUCUACCAUUUGUAAGUUUGAAUAUUAUAACUUCUGUUAGGAAUCAUAGUAAUAACAGUUUAAACAUGUUUGUCAAGGUUUAACUCAUAUUUUGUUUAAUCAUCUCUCCUUUUAUAACUUGCUCUAGUUAUCAA